CUACUAUUAUUACACACAUACUAUACACUUUAUGAUAUUGAUAAAAAGAAUGAUAAAGAUAAACUCAUUAAUAAAUACAAUAAAAAAAUAAUGCAUCCCAACGAGGGUAAGAUAUAUAUAACUGGUGAUAAAAUAAAUAUCAGUUCGAAGCAGCGGAUGGAUCACUUUGAAGCAAGGCUCGUGAGCCAGCAGGUCUGCGUGCCACCUGGCGGACGGCCGCGACACCCGAGACAGAGGAACACCUGCGGCCGCCGGAGGAGCCUUGCUGUGACAUUAAGGGUAUUUUUAAGCGAAUGUCCAGUUCAAGCAGGCCUGGGCAUUAAGAUGGAGCUGAGGCUGCAGUUCUUCAGGACUUCAAAGACUCCAGAGUCCAACAGUAAUCAGCCAUCAUGACUGCAUCCCAGCAUCCUUGAUACCCGGUCUCCAUCUCUAUCAUGUCCUGAUGGAAUCUCUCCCCCUGCUCGUCGCUCAUUGAUCCCAGAUUCUCAGGAAACCGAUCCAUACGUAAGAAUAAGUAAUGCAUUUUGAUGCUCAUGUUACAUUCGAGGUUUCUGAAAGCAGUCAGCAUAUUGGUGACAAGUUCUGCGUAGUUCCUGGCCUUCUUGUUGCCAUAAAUUUCUUUACGACAAGAACAAAAGCCUUCCACGCUUCCACUUCCACUUCGUUCAUUGAGUUUUCAAACUCUAGAUCUCUGAUGAGCUGAGGACCGUCAAAGAUACCAGCUUUCAACUUCUCCAUGGUCAAUCCUGGAAAAGCGUGGCACAAGUAAAUGAAGCAGCCAGCAUCCUUGUCCAGAGCUUUGGUGAAAUGUUUGAUCAAGCCGAGCUUGAUGUGCAGCGGUGGGAAAAGUAUCCUGUCUCUGUCCACCAGAGGGUUGUUUAUGAUGUUCCUUGCUCUGCAAGGCACCAAUUUCUCCUGUACAGACCAGUCCUUCUUCGUGUAAUGCUGAGCUUUGUCCCUACUAUCCCACAUGCACAGAAAGCACGGGUACUUGGUGAACCCAGA